AAAGUUAGAGGUUCGAAGGCGAUCAGAUACCGCCCUAGUUCUAACCAUAAACGAUGCCAGCCAGCGAUCCGGCUGUGUUCCUCAAAUGACACGCCGGGCAGCUUCCGGGAAACCAAAGCUUUUGGGUUCCGGGGGAAGUAUGGUUGCAAAGCUGAAACUUAAAGGAAUUGACGGAGAGGCACCACCAGGAGUGGAGCUUGCGGCUUAAUUUGACUCAACGCGGGAAAACGUACCCGGUCAGGACACAGGAAGGAUUGACAGAUUGACAGCUCUUUCUUGAUUCUGUGGGUGGUGGUGCAUGGCCGUUCUUAGUUGGUGGAGCGAUUUGUCUGGUUAAUUCCGAUAACGAGCGAGACUCUAGCCUACUAAAUAGACGUUCCGAUCAUCUGCGUCGGACGUUCUUCUUAGAGGGACAAGCGGCGUUUAGCCGCACGAGACAGAGCAAUAACAGGUCUGUGAUGCCCUUAGAUGUCCGGGGCCGCACGCGUGCUACAUUGAAGGAAUCAGCGUGUGCUUUCCCUGUCCGACAGGACUGGGUAACCCGUUGAAACUCCUUCGUGCUGGGGAUAGGAGUUUGUAAUUGUCCUCCUUGAACGAGGAACUCCCAGUAAGCGCGAGUCAUUAUCUCGUGUUGAUUACGUCCCUGCCUCUUGUACACACCGCCCGUCGCCACUACCGAUCGAAUGAUUUAGUGAGGUCUUCGGACCGGCGCCCGAACCGGCUUUCGAGUCGGGUCGGCGUGCCAGAAAGAUGACCAAACUUGAUCAUU
rnacentral:rRNA from 1 species